CUCCUGUCCCAGCACAUAAAGGCAGCACAGAGGCUGCCAUCGCGGGAUGACUUCCCAACCUGGACUCCCCACAGAUGACAGACGUACAUCAGCUGUACAUGGAUAUGUUCUGGGAAAGUAUCGACCGGAGCUUGACCUGAACUCACCCAACAUGUCAGGUUUAAUGGGUACAGUUUCAAUGUGGAGGAUGUAAGUUCAGGAGACGGCUGGCGACCGUGCACCAGUGGGAACGCACCUGACCCUACCGAACUGUACACUUAAAAUUGUUAAAAUGGACAGUGUGGAAAAUAGAGAUACCGGCAAAAACAGGAAGACAGACCACUGUGCAGGAGGAAAUCCAAAUCUU